rnacentral:rRNA from 1 species
AUUGAACGCUGGCGGCAUGCCUUACACAUGCAAGUCGAACGGUAACAGGUUAAGCUGACGAGUGGCGAACGGGUGAGUAAUGUAUCGGAACGUGCCCAGUCGUGGGGGAUAACUGCUCGAAAGAGCAGCUAAUACCGCAUACGACCUGAGGGUGAAAGCGGGGGAUCGCAAGACCUCGCGCGAUUGGAGCGGCCGAUAUCGGAUUAGGUAGUUGGGGGGGUAAAGGCCUACCAAGCCUACGAUCUGUAGCUGGUCUGAGAGGACGACCAGCCACACUGGGACUGAGAACCGGCCCAGACUCCUACGGGAGGCAGCAGUGGGGAAUUUUGGACAAUGGACGCAAGUCUGAUCCAGCCAUGCCGCGUGCGGGAAGAAGGCCUUCGGGUUGUAACCGCUUUUGUCAGGGAAGAAAAGGUUCUGGCUAAUACCUGGGACUCAUGACGGUACCUGAAGAAUAAGCACCGGCUAACUACGUGCCAGCCGCCGCAGUAAUAC